UUUAAUCUUAACACUUUACUUGCUAAAAUAUUAAAAGAUAUGGUCUCCAAAUUUAAAGGAUUUGGCGGUAAUUUAGCCCAGUUAGAGGAACCUGUUUCUUAAACGAUACACCACGCAAAAUCUUACCUAUUUUCAGUUUGUAUACCGUCAUUAUUAGAUAACUUUUAAAAAAUUAGUUAUUAAAAUAAAAAAUUUUAAUAUAUUAGAUCAAGGUGCAGCUUAUAUUUAGGAAUUUAAUGGGUUACAAUAAAACUAAUUUAUACGGAUAAUUUCCUUAAAAGUUUUUUGAAGGAGGAUUUAAUAGUAAAAUUAAUUUAAUAAGUUAUUUUGAUAAAGGAUCUAAAUUGUGUACAUAUCGCCCGUCACUUUCAUUACCAAAUGAAAUAAGUCGUAACAUAG
rnacentral:rRNA from 1 species